rnacentral:rRNA from 1 species
UACGGAGGGAGCUAGCGUUGUUCGGAAUUACUGGGCGUAAAGCGCACGUAGGCGGCGACUCAAGUCAGAGGUGAAAGCCCGGGCUCAACCCCGGAACUGCCUUUGAAACUAGGUUGCUAGAAUCUUGGAGAGGUCAGUGGAAUUCCGAGUGUAGAGGUGAAAUUCGUAGAUAUUCGGAAGAACACCAGUGGCGAAGGCGACUGACUGGACAAGUAUUGACGCUGAGGUGCGAAAGCGUGGGGAGCAAACAGG